rnacentral:rRNA from 1 species
GACAGAGGAUGCAAGCGUUAUCCGGAAUGAUUGGGCGUAAAACGUCUGUAGGUGGCUUUUAAGUCCGCCGUCAAAUCCCAGGGCUCAACCCUGGACAGGCGGUGGAAACUACCAAGCUGGAGUACGGUAGGGCAGAGGGAAUUCCGGUGGAGCGGUGAAAUGCGUAGAGAUCGGAAAGAACACCAACGGCGAAAGCACUCUGCUGGCCGACACUGACACUGAGAGACGAAGCUAGGGA